UGGUGGUGUUUUAUGGGAUGA
rnacentral:misc_RNA from 1 species